GAAAAGCUCGGGGAUGACUUGUGGGUAGCGGUGAAAUUCCAAUCGAGCCCGGAGAUAGCUGGUUCUCCCCGAAAUAGCUUUAGGGCUAGCCUCAAGGGGAGAGAUACGGAGGUAGAGCACUGAAUGUCCUAGGGGGUAUUGCACCUACCGAAGACUAUCAAACUCCGAAUGCCGUCAUCUUAUACUUGGGAGUCAGACUGUGGGUGAUAAGAUUCAUAGUCGAAAGGGCAACAGCCCAGAUCGUCAGCUAAGG
rnacentral:rRNA from 1 species